CCUACGGGCGGCAGCAGUCGAGAAUCAUUCACAAUGGGGGAAACCCUGAUGGUGCGACGCCGCGUGGGGGAAUGAAGGUCUUCGGAUUGUAAACCCCUGUCAUGUGGGAGCAAAUUAAAAAGAUAGUACCACACGAGGAAGAGACGGCUAACUCUGUGCCAGCAGCCGCGGUAAUACAGAGGUCUCAAGCGUUGUUCGGAAUCACUGGGCGUAAAGCGUGCGUAGGCUGUUUCGUAAGUCGUGUGUGAAAGGCGCGGGCUCAAGCCGCGGACGGCACAUGAUACUGCGAGACUAGAGUAAUGGAGGGGGAACCGGAAUUCUCGGUGUAGCAGUGAAAUGCGUAGAUAUCGAGAGGAACACUCGUGGCGAAGGCGGGUUCCUGGACAGUAACUGACGCUGAGGCACGAAGGCCAGGGGAGCGAAAGGGAUUAGAUACCCCAGUAGUC
rnacentral:rRNA from 1 species